rnacentral:rRNA from 1 species
UACGUAGGGUGCAAGCGUUGUCCGGAUUUAUUGGGUUUAAAGGGUGCGUAGGCGGCCCUGUAAGUUAGUGGUGAAAUACUCUAGCUUAACUAGAGGGGUGCCAAUGAUACUGCAGGGCUUGAGUACAGAUGAGGUAGGCGGAAUUGACGGUGUAGCGGUGAAAUGCAUAGAUAUCGUCAAGAACACCGAUAGCGAAGGCAGCUUACUGGGCUGUAACUGACGCUGAUGCACGAAAGUGUGGGGAUCAAACAGG